GACAGCAGCCGCCGCGGUAAUACGAGGGGGGCAAGCGUUGCUCGGAAUUAUUGGGCGUAAAGGGUGCGUAGGCGGCUUGACAAGUCUUGUGUGAAAUCUAUGGGCUCAACCCAUAGUCUGCACGGGAAACUGUCGGGCUUGAGAAUGGGAGAGGUGAGUGGAAUUUCCGGUGUAGCGGUGAAAUGCGUAGAUAUCGGAAGGAACACCUGUGGCGAAAGCGGCUCACUGGACCAUUUCUGACGCUGAUGCACGAAAGCUAGGGGAGCAAACAGGAUUAGAUACCCGAGUAGUCCCUGUCUCUUAUAC
rnacentral:rRNA from 1 species